rnacentral:tRNA from 1 species
GGCCGCGUUGGGAAAUGGACAACGCGUCGGUCUUCGGAACCGAAGAUUGCAGGUCGCGGUCCUGCCGUGGUCG